AUUUAUAUAAUAUAAUAUAAGUAUAUUUAACUUCCAAUUAAAAAGUUUAAUUUUUUAAUAUAAAUA
rnacentral:tRNA from 1 species